rnacentral:rRNA from 1 species
CCAAUAGCGUAUAUUAAAGUUGUUGCAGUUAAAAAGCUCGUAGUUGAAUUUCGGGAUCAAUAUGCUGGUCGUGCCAUUGGUACGUACUAGUAUUAUUGGUUUCUCCUUUCUGAUGAAUCAUGAUGUCAUUAAUUUGAUGUCAUGAGGAAUCAGGACUGUUACUUUGAAAAAAUUAGAGUGUUUAAAGCAGGCUCGCGCUUGAAUACAUUAGCAUGGAAUAAUGGAAUAGGAUGUUUGAUUCUAUUUUGUUGGUUUCUAGGAUUGACGUAAUGAUUAAUAGGGAGAGUUGGGGGCAUUAGUAUUCAAUUGUCAGAGGUGAAAUUCUUGGAUUUAUUGAAGACUAACUACUGCGAAAGCAUUUGCCAAGGAUGUUUUCAUUAAUCAAGAACGAAAGUUAGGGGAUCGAAGACGAUCAGAUACCGUCGUAGUCUUAACCAUAAACUAUGCCGACUAGGGAUCGGAUGAUGUUAAUUUUUUAAUGACUCAUUCGGCGCCUUACG